GGGAAUAUUGCACAAUGGGCGCAAGCCUGAUGCAGCCAUGCCGCGUGUAUGAAGAAGGCCUUCGGGGUGUAAAGUACUUUCAGCGAGGAGGAAGGCAUUGUGGUUAAUAACCACAGUGAUUGACGUUACUCGCAGAAGAAGCACCGGCUAACUCCGUGCCAGCAGCCGCGGUAAUACGGAGGGUGCAAGCGUUAAUCGGAAUUACUGGGAGUAAACCGCACGCAGUCUGUCUGUCAAGUCGGAUGUGAAAUCCCCGGGCUCAACCUGGGAACUGCAUUCGAAACUGGCAGGCUAGAGUCGUGUAGAGGGGGGUAGAAUUCCAGGUGUAGCGGUGAAAUGCGUAGAGAUCUGGAGGAAUACCGGUGGCGAAGGCGGCCCCCUGGACAAAGACUGACGCUCAGGUGCGAAAGCGUGGGGAGC
rnacentral:rRNA from 1 species